UACCAGCACCCCGAGUGGUCGGGACGAUUAUUGGGCCUAAAGCAUCCGUAGCCGGCUCUACAAGUCUUCCGUUAAAUCCACCUGCUUAACAGAUGGGCUGCGGAGGAUACUAUAGAGCUAGGAGGCGGGAGAGGCAAGCGGUACUUAGUGGGUAGGGGUAAAAUCCGUUGAUCCAUUGAAGACCACCAGUGGCGAAGGCGGCUUGCCAGAACGCACUCGACGGUGAGGGAUGAAAGCUGGGGGAGCAAACCGG
rnacentral:rRNA from 1 species